GUUUCAUGCUGGCUGGCUGUUAAUUGGCCAGCUAGCGUGAAAUUGCGUUCAGAGGCUGAUCGCGGGCAGAAGCGCAUUUCGCGUCUGCUUCCGGGCCUGCUGAUCGCACACGCCCAACGAACGUAAGAUUCAAGCCAUUGAGACAUUUGCCCUGCUUUUAGAGGACAUAAAACAGCCUUCUCAGCUUCAACCAAAUGCUCGGGAAUCUCCUGAUUUGAUGUCAACAUGUUUCCAGGAAUGGUACUUGUUCCAUGUUCCUGUAGGCCUAGUUUGUGGCUUCCUAAAGAGCAGACUUCCCAGCCUGACCACAGCAGUGGAGGUCAACUAUCUUACGGUCACCGAGAGAACCUGGAUACAGUGCAGAAAAUGCAUCAAUGACUUUUAAGAUCUGCCAGUGACGGACUCCAUUAUAGAAGUGUAUAUUCAUGGAAGGAUGUGGGGAGGCUCCAUGAGUAUAUCGUCUUGUGCACUGAACAGGAGUGCAAGGUAGAAUGAUGCACAAAUGCCACUGUACAUGAUUCCAAGGUUUAUGAAUGGGUUUUGGAAUGGGGGAUGGGGAGGGAUUGAAAGAAGUUGUAACUGGUCAUUUGAUGUAAUUGGUCAUUUGGUGCUGCAGAUUGUUCAGCCUGUGGAGUUCUCAGAGGCCAGAUGUGUGAAGGAAUGAUUAUGCAGGAGAUUCAAAAUCUUUAUAAUGUCACAAUGCCCAAGAAAGAUGCAAGACAGGAGGCAGUGUGCCAAACCUCACGCCAAUAAAAGAAGAGGAGUUGCAGCUUGCUGACAGGAAGUGGGACUGGUGGAUUGGAAGAGGUGAGAUAUGAGAAAGGCCCUGGAGUGAUGAAACUGCAGGAGGGGGCCAUGCGCAAUUGAGAGAGAUAGGUGUUUACCAGAAUAAGGGGAGAGUGUAUGAUGCCUGGUCUGUUGUUAUGAAGGAGGCAUUGGUGGUAUCUGAUUGAGAAUGCUUUCAUGCCUCAUGAAGAAAUGAGUGUCAUGUUGGAAGUGAAAUCCAAGCAAAGAGUAACAUCUCAUAAUGUUUGAAGUGUUGCCAAUGUGGAAAUAUGUCUCUGUGCACUUGCCGCGAAGGUAGAAGAUGGCCUAGUUUUGUCUCCUGCACAGGUGUGCCAUUGACUGCUGUUGCCAAAAGUCCCAAAGGUCCAACUCUGAGGAGGAAGAGGAAGCCUUAGAGAGUGCAAUGUCACACUCCUGCUCCAUACACAGUACUGGCACAGACAUGAGCACCUUGGUGGGAAUUCACGCCUCAGAACUAAGGGAACCAGAAACUGAUGAACCACAUGCUGCUGAUGGAGACUGAGAUUGUGCAGGCCUUUGGCAGUUGGGGGAGUGCUGGAGGACAGCCAGAUGCUGAGUCACAGUUAGGUGAUGAGCUUCUGAAGUUGUCCAUAAGGUGGCUGGUGCUGGACAUGUUGUGUGGAUAUGUGGUGGAGAUACCAGAGGCAUUGUAUGUUCUGGCACUGACUUAGGAGGUGCCCACCCUAGCUAUGGGCACGGUGAUCAGCUACUCAGCAGAACAUACGACUUCCUCCACUAACAGACUGAUGACUGUCUUGGACAGCCAAACCCAGAAGAUUACAGAAGGAACCGUGGGUAUGUAUGCUGACCUGCACUCCAUCACUUUGGGUGGAAUCAUCUUAGAUUUGCACAAAGUGCAGUAGCAGGUGGGAAAAAAGUUGUUUUACCUAUCGACACACUUCCCUUAAAGUGAUGGCGUGUUGCUAUCCCUGAAAAGCAUAUUCCAACACUCUGGCCCUCUGCCAGUGGCACAGAUGCCUUCAAGUCCUGCAGCAACAGAAGGGCCUUAUACCACUGUACAGGAGGCACCCAACAUGCUGGGGCCCUCAUGGCCACGGGCAACCAGAGAGAGGCAACCAAAGUUACCAAAGACAAAGGGGCAUAAGGGACAGCAGCCUGUCUCCACUGCAGCUGCAAGCAAGGGUUGGGGUGGAAGGGAGCAGGAUGCACCAUGCCACAAAUAAUUUUUAAAAACCCCACACCAGUCAGACUUCGCUUCACAUGGGUGAGUUUAUCAUCUGUAUUACUUACAAAGGACAAUAAGGUUCAAUAUACAUAACUGAUAAGUUAGCUGAACAUCCUAGAGAAGCACACUGGUUUAUUUACUGUGCAUAAAAUGGAUGGAGAUGGAUGGUGUUAUGAGGAUGUGCUUUUAUUUUAAAGAUAUCAUUUUUAAUUUUUCUUCUUCUGGCUGAAUUUUGAAAUUAAGCUGAAAACCUUUAAAGACAAUGUAGACUGCCUAAUGGCUACAAUAUACAAGCUUGCAUUCCAUCAAGUGGGAUGGAAAAGAUAGACACUCAACCCCCUCGGGAGCAUGAAAGCCCCCAUCCCCUGUUGGCAUUAUCCUGAAACUUUUGAAAAGUUUCUGAGUUGCGACAUCAAAAUGUAAUUACCUGUUCUAAAAACAAUAACUGCAGCAGACAUAGACUAGUAGAAUUUCCCUGGAAUAUACAGCCAGCAGGGGACUUUAAGGGACUGUGUUACUGAACAGAGACAUCAGAAUGCUGUACUGAAACAGGCUGUAAAAGCUUUUUGCUUUCUCUUUCUUUCUUGGAAGUAUUGUACCGAUUUGCAAAGUAACCACCCUGAGAAGAGAAAUCUACUGUAAACUGAGAUCAUUUGGGAAUAAAACAUGGGUAUACAUUCCAUACAGCCACACCCAGGAAGACAACUGGACAAAUGCUGCAACAUGGAAUCACCAUAUCGAGACCAGCAAGAGGACAGCUAACUGUAUAUUCCUUUGUUUUAUCUUCUUGAUGAACUGUAAAAAAGCCUUAAUACCAUCGUAUUAUUCUACCACCUCUACUUGUUUGUGUGUAUUUGUGUGUGUGUGUGUGGGCCCAGGCAAAUGCCUGUGAAAUGUGAAUGGGGGUUGCGAUUUACCUAGUCCUUUUUUUUCAAUUCGGGGAAAUCGUUUCAAUAAACUUGCCUUGUUCUUUGUUUAACCAGAGAAAA